UCCUGGUUAACCCAGGCAGUCUCGUUAGAGUUCCCACCUAAAAUGUUGGCAACUAACGAUAAGGGUUGCGCUCGUUGCGGGACUUAACCCAACACCUCACGGCACGAGCUGACGACAGCCAUGCAGCACCUGUGCAGCAGUCCCGAAGGAAAGCACCAUCUCUGGUGCGGUCUACUGCAUGUCAAGCCUGGGUAAGGUUCUUCGCGUUGCGUCGAAUUAAACCACAUGCACCACCGCUUGUGCGGGCCCCCGUCAAUUCCUUUGAGUUCCAACCUUGCGGCCGUACUCCCCAGGCGGGAUACUUACUCCGUUAGGUGCGGCACCGGCGGUAACCCGCCGACACUUAGUAUCCAUCGUUUAGGGCGUGGACUAC
rnacentral:misc_RNA from 1 species